GUGAACAAAUCAGGCCCGCGGUGUAAUCUGCUACACAAAUCGAGGAAGCCUCCACACCGUCAUACGUCGAGUUGCCAUUGCUUUUCUUCCUUCUUGGACGCUACGCGGCGUCGUCGAUUAGUUUUGCAUAACCUUCUUCUCCAUUAUUGAAGCUGGACAACGACCUUAGCGUGCGGAUAAGUCGAACAGCUCGCGCCAUUGGAUCGAUACAGCAUACCACCCUCCGGAAGACGUUUGGAAUCCGGCUCUCCAGCAAGCAGCGGAUACUCAUCAGCAGUGCGAAAAGAAAGCAAUGAAGCCAACGGCCCUUGUCCCUGUCCGACCGGGGAAGCGAUGCCGGUGUCAUAAUAUGAUCACGCGCAUGGCCCUUGCGGACUGCCAGCCAGUAGAGCACCACCGCAAAAAGCGCAACAGUGUGUAUUCGAUCUGGGACGGACGGCGUAUUUCGCUUCAUCUCCGAUUCUGAGAUAUUGGAAGCCCUUUUGCUAUAUGUGUGUGUGAGAGAGAGAAAAAGAGAGAACGAGUGCACAAUACAGAACACUCUGCACAGUAGCGGUCGAGACGAGCAGGCACCGAAACCUGCCCCGUGUAUCGAUCGAAGCAACCAGCCGGCUCGAUAAAUCUCUAUUUUCUCUCAUUCCACCAUCUGAACAGCACAAAACAGAACCCUGGAAGAGUGUGGUGGCAUGAACCACAAAAACUUCAGAUGACCGGUACGAAAAAUCGGUCCCCACUCCAGUACCACGAACAGGGUAAUUCUUUUAUGUCCUUUUCUCUUUUAUGCGUCUUUACACGUCGACUGGGGGACGUCGAAUGAAAAUUGCAAAAACCCGA